rnacentral:rRNA from 1 species
GACGUAGGGCGCAAGCGUUGUCCGGAUUUAUUGGGCGUAAAGAGCUCGUAGGCGGCUUGUUGCGUCGACUGUGAAAACCCGUGGCUCAACCAUGUGGUCUGCAGUCGAUACGGGCAGGCUAGAAUUCGGUAGGGGAGACUGGAAUUCCUGGUGUAGCGGUGAAAUGCGCAGAUAUCAGGAGGAACACCGGUGGCGAAGGCGGGUCGCUGGGCCGAUAUUGACGCUGAGGAGCGAAAGCGUGGGGAGCGAACAGG